UGUGUGGAGAGUGGGUGACAGGUUAGUGGACGGAAGGGGGCACUCUCUGUAUGAGUCUCCCAUGAGCCCCAAGACAAGCUGGGAUCCUUUCUUACAAAUGCCAGAUUCCUAAGACCUGUCCAUUUUCUUCUCUUUCAUGAAGUGAAACAUUAUAUAAGGCAAAAGUUAAACCAGCCAACCAAGGUCUUAAUUGCAGACUUAUUAUUAUGUGGUUGUUUAUUCCACAACCUGCUCAUCAGAAAAGCACACCCUUCCUGUGAAGGAAGCAAGCAGGGAGUAACUUUCCAUUUUAGGAAUCUAAUGAAAUGCAAAAUGAUGAUUUGAUUAUAGCUAUAAGGUGAUACAAUAAGGACCUAAGAAGUAUAAAAACAAAAAGUAACCCAAAACAACAAAACAGACACAAAUAAACAAACCCUACUAGAUGGGCAAACCAAUCAAAACCAAAACCAACCUAGACUCACAGAGAAACCAUGCUGAUUUCUGAUGAGUUUUGGUGAGUUGCCAAUAGGGCCUUUGAUUUCAAAGAGACAAAAUUCUGUCACUUGGAGAAGUGACAGAAAAUCCCAUGAACUAUAAUUAAAAGACAGAAAGGAAGUCCUAGUGGCCUACCCCUCCAGCUUUGUUCUCUUUGAUUAUGGUCUUUUGACUAGAAAAAAAAAUAGGUGAAAGUAAAAAAGAAACUACAUCAUGUCCACCCAGGACACUCAGUAACUGUCUGGAUGGAGUUUCUGCUCUUGUAUAGGGUCCCACUAGGGUCCUACCAGGUCCCACCAGGAUCUUACCAGGGUUCUACCAGGGUCUCACUAGGGUCCUACCAUGUCCCAUCAGGUUCCACUAGGUUCCACCAGGGUCCCACCAGGUUCCCACUAUGGUCCCACCAGGGUCCCACCAGGUCUUACCAUGGUCCCACCAGGUCCCACCAGGGUCCCACCAGGUCUUACCAUGGUCCCACUAAAUCCCACCAGGGUCCCACCAGGUCGCACCAGGGUCCCACUCUAGGGUCCCACUAGGGUCCCACCAGGUCCCACUAGGGUCCCACCAGGUCCCACCAGGGUCCCACUAGGGUCCCACCAGGUCCCACCAGGGUCCCACCAGGGUCCCACUAGGGUCCCACCAGGGUCCCACCAGGGUCCCACCAGGUCCCACCAGGGUCCCACCAGGGUCCCACUAGGGUUCCACCAGGUCCCACCAGGGUGUUUGGGAGCUGUAAGGAAGAGGCCUAGGGAAUCUUUACUUUUCAGUCAGCUAAGAUUAUAUAUCUACUUCUAAGAAACCAUGGCUUGGCUAAACAGCGUUCCAAGCGUCCCUUCAGACAGGGACAGGCAGCGUAAGAUA